rnacentral:rRNA from 1 species
AUGGCAAGAUGCAACACGCAAGCGAAUGACAAGGCAACAACAGCGAAUAACUGGAAGACACCUGGCGCAUCGGUUUCGGGGUGUCACAAGUGGCGAGCCCCCCCACCCCCACCCGGAACUAAGGAACCGGUGGAAUCUUCGGUGGACUGCAUCAGCAAUCUCCCGGACGUCAUCCUUCAGGAGAUCAUCUCGCUUCUCCCCACCAAGGGUUGCUGCCGCACACAAGUCCUCUCAACUCAGUGGUGCCCUCUAUGGUGCACCGCGCCCCUCAAUCUCGACUGUCGUCGGAUAUCUGUCCUUCUUGAAUUUGAUCUCCUCAGAGCCAUCAUCUCCUCUCACUAG